GAUGAACGCUGGCGGCGUGCUUAACACAUGCAAGUCGAACGAGAAAUGGAGACGGAAACCUUCGGGUGGAAGGCUUCAUUUCGAGUGGCGGACGGGUGAGUAACGCGUGGGUAACCUGCCUCAUACAGGGGGAUAACAGUUGGAAACGACUGUUAAUACCGCAUAAGACCACAGCACCGCAUGGUGCGGGGGUAAAAACUCCGGUGGUAUGAGAUGGACCCGCGUUCGAUUAGCCAGUUGGCGGGGUAACGGCCCACCAAAGCGACGAUCGAUAGCCGAUCUGAGAGGAUGACCGGCCACAUUGGGACUGAGACACGGCCCAAACUCCUACGGGAGGCAGCAGUGGGGAAUAUUGCACAAUGGGGGAAACCCUGAUGCAGCGACGCCGCGUGAGUGAAGAAGUACUUCGGUAUGUAAAGCUCUAUCAGCAGGGAAGAAAAUGACGGUACCUGAGUAAGAAGCCCCGGCUAACUACGUG
rnacentral:rRNA from 1 species